CGCUGCACAGUGAUUCACUCUAAGGCCAUAAAUCGGAAAAUGUCAUCGGCUUAUCCCCAUUAGAUCUACUUACUAAGUGAUUAACAAGUUAAGAAGCUUCCGAAAACUCUAAAUACCCGUGUCAUAAGGUCAACUUAUUAUUCACUUUUGUGCAUCGGAAGUUAGCGCAUCUCGAGUCUAAUUAUCGCAACGUGUGAGUCAUCAAAACUUAACACUUUGUUUUUGAGUGUCACUAUUCCAAAUCAAGUGUUUACGUAUGGUGACAGUAUGGAGGUCCAAGACCAAGGUAAAGUUUUCAAAUGUUCUGUUUCGAGGACGACUAUUUUUGACAUUUGGCACUCUAAAGAGGGUAGUCCAAAUGAAAAAUGCAACAUGUCCUGAAUACUUUGACCGAAACAUCGUGCCUUUCGGAUGACAUCGAAAAUAUCAAACUAGAGACUUUAAAUAAUAAAAUUAUGAAUGUAUGUAAACGAAUUUCUCAUUAUUGAGCAAUAUCAAAUCGUAGUAGGUCUAAGUUUAUAGAGAAACUAGCUGUUGCCCGCAACUUCGCCUGCGUGGGCAAGUUUCAUACAAACUUUCAUCCCCUAUUUUAUCCCCUUGGGGGUAGAAUUGAUCAAAAUCCUUUCUUAGCGGAUGCCUACGUCAUAAUAUCUACCUGCAUGCCAAAUUUCAGCCCGAUCCGUCCAGUGGUUUCAGCUGUGCGUUGAUAGAUCACUAUGUCAGUCAGUCAGUCAGUCAGUCACCUUUGAGUUUUAUAUAUUUAGAUAUUCAGAUUGGCUGAAUGUAGUUGAAAAUAUUGAUGUAGAGCGAAUUGAGUUACAUGUAUCUCAGAAGUCUGACAAAGUUGAACCAUCAACUUCUUCAUUCAGAUCCCUUCCUAACAGGUUUACGAAAGUUCCCUGUCAAAACAAAAGGUGUACUAUCAAAAAUUGUACUAGAUUUGUUAUAUGUUUGUAGUAAAUACUUUUGAGCUUGAAUGUAUUCUGGUAUAUUUUGUGUUUUGUGUGUAUUUGCAAAAAAGGUUGUUCGUGUA